rnacentral:rRNA from 1 species
GCUAUNGGGNUUCGAUUAAGCCAUGCGAGUNAAAUGUUCUUCGUGAACAUAGCGAACUGCUCAGUGACACGUGGAUAACCUACCNUUAGGACCGGAAUAACCCCGGGAAACUGGGGAUAAUACCGGAUAAGCCAUAGACGCUGGAAUGCCCUAUGGUUCAAGGNUCCGGCGCCUAAGGAUGGAUCUGCGGUCUAUCAGGUUGUAGUGGGUGUAACGUACCUACUAGCCGACGACGGAUACGGGUUGUGAGAGCAAGAGCCCGGAGAUGGAUUCUGAGACACGAAUCCAGGCCCUACGGGGCGCAGCAGGCGCGAACACUUUACAAUGCGGGAAACCGCGAUAAGGGAACCCCGAGUGCCAGCAUCAAAUGUUGGCUGUCCAGAUGGUUAAAAAUCAUUUGUUAGCAAGGGCCGGGCAAGACCGGUGCCAGCCGCCGCGGUAACACCGGCGGCCCGAGUGGUAGCCGUUUUUAUUGGGUCUAAAGGGUCCGUAGCCGGCCUGAUAAGUCCUUUGGGAAAUCUGACAGCUUAACUGUCAGGCUUCUAAGGGAUACUGUCAGGCUUGGGACCGGAAGAGGUAAGGGGUACUCCAGGGGUAGGAGUGAAAUCUUGUAAUCCCUGGGGGACCAUCUGUGGCGAAGGCGCCUUACCAGAACGGGUCCGACGGUGAGGGACGAAAGCUAGGGGAGCAAACCGGAUUAGAUACCCGGGUAGUCCUAGCUGUAAACGAUGCUCGCUAGGUGUCAGACACGGUGCGACCGUGUUUGGUGCCGCAGGGAAGCCGUUAAGCGAGCCACCUGGGAAGUACGGUCGCAAGGCUGAAACUUAAAGGAAUUGGCGGG